GCCUGACUGGCUCAGUCGGUUAAGCAUCUGACUUUAGCUCAGGUCAUGAUCUCACGGUUUGUGAGUACAAGCCACACGUCGGGCU
rnacentral:tRNA from 1 species